rnacentral:rRNA from 1 species
UACGAAGGGGGCUAGCGUUGCUCGGAAUUACUGGGCGUAAAGCGCACGUAGGCGGUCUUUUAAGUCGGGGGUGAAAUCCUGGAGCUCAACUCCAGAACUGCCUUCGAUACUGGAAGACUCGAGUCCGGGAGAGGUGAGUGGAACUCCUAGUGUAGAGGUGGAAUUCGUAGAUAUUAGGAAGAACACCAGUGGCGAAGGCGGCUCACUGGUCCGGUACUGACGCUGAGGUGCGAAAGCGUGGGGAGCAAACAGGG